UCGCGAAACCUUUGCAAUACACGAAAGUGUGACAGGGUCAUCCCGAGUGCCGACCGCUGAGGUUGGCUUUUACCCAGUCUAGAAAGCUGGGGGAAUAAGGAGAGGGCAAGUCUGGUGUCAGCCGCCGCGGUAAUACCAGCUCUCCGAGUGGUGUGGACGUUUAUUGGGCCUAAAGCAUCCGUAGCUGGCUGAACAAGUCCCCUGUUAAACCCACCGAUUUAAUCGUUGGUCUGCGGGGGAUACUGCUCGGCUAGGGGACGAGAGAGGCAGACGGUAUUCCCGGGGUAGGGGUGAAAUCCUAUAAUCCCGAGAAGACCACCAGUGGCGAAGGCUGUCUGCUAGAACGCGCCCGACGGUGAGGGAUGAAAGCUGGGGGAGCGAACCGG
rnacentral:rRNA from 1 species